rnacentral:rRNA from 1 species
UUGGGCCGAUUCGGGCGGGUCUUAAACAUGCUAGUCGAGCGGUAGCACAGAGAGCUUGCUCUCGGGUGACGAGCGGCGGACGGGUGAGUAAUGUCUGGGAAACUGCCUGAUGGAGGGGGAUAACUACUGGAAACGGUAGCUAAUACCGCAUAACGUCGCAAGACCAAAGUGGGGGACCUUCGGGCCUCAUGCCAUCAGAUGUGCCCAGAUGGGAUUAGCUGGUAGGUGGGGUAACGGCUCACCUAGGCGACGAUCCCUAGCUGGUCUGAGAGGAUGACCAGCCACACUGGAACUGAGACACGGUCCAGACUCCUACGGGAGGCAGCAGUGGGGAAUAUUGCACAAUGGGCGCAAGCCUGAUGCAGCCAUGCCGCGUGUGUGAAGAAGGCCUUCGGGUUGUAAAGCACUUUCAGCGGGGAGGAAGGCGGUGAGGUUAAUAACCUCAUCGAUUGACGUUACCCGCAGAAGAAGCACCGGCUAACUCCGUGCCAGCAGCCGCGGUAAUACGGAGGGUGCAAGCGUUAAUCGGAAUUACUGGGCGUAAAGCGCACGCAGGCGGUCUGUCAAGUCGGAUGUGAAAUCCCCGGGCUCAACCUGGGAACUGCAUUCGAAACUGGCAGGCUAGAGUCUUGUAGAGGGGGGUAGAAUUCCAGGUGUAGCGGUGAAAUGCGUAGAGAUCUGGAGGAAUACCGGUGGCGAAGGCGGCCCCCUGGACAAAGACUGACGCUCAGGUGCGAAAGCGUGGGGAGCAAACAGGAUUAGAUACCCUGGUAGUCCACGCUGUAAACGAUGUCGAUUUGGAGGUUGUGCCCUUGAGGCGUGGCUUCCGGAGCUAACGCGUUAAAUCGACCGCCUGGGGAGUACGGCCGCAAGGUUAAAACUCAAAUGAAUUGACGGGGGCCCGCACAAGCGGUGGAGCAUGUGGUUUAAUUCGAUGCAACGCGAAGAACCUUACCUGGUCUUGACAUCCACAGAACUUAGCAGAGAUGCUUUGGUGCCUUCGGGAACUGUGAGACAGGUGCUGCAUGGCUGUCGUCAGCUCGUGUUGUGAAAUGUUGGGUUAAGUCCCGCAACGAGCGCAACCCUUAUCCUUUGUUGCCAGCGGUUAGGCCGGGAACUCAAAGGAGACUGCCAGUGAUAAACUGGAGGAAGGUGGGGAUGACGUCAAGUCAUCAUGGCCCUUACGACCAGGGCUACACACGUGCUACAAUGGCAUAUACAAAGAGAAGCGACCUCGCGAGAGCAAGCGGACCUCAUAAAGUAUGUCGUAGUCCGGAUUGGAGUCUGCAACUCGACUCCAUGAAGUCGGAAUCGCUAGUAAUCGUAGAUCAGAAUGCUACGGUGAAUACGUUCCCGGGCCUUGUACACACCGCCCGUCACACCAUGGGAGUGGGUUGCAAAAGAAGUAGGUAGCUUAACCUUCGGAGGGCGCUACCACUUUUAUAUUGG